rnacentral:rRNA from 1 species
CAGCCGCCGCGGGAAUACGGAGGGGGCUAGCGUUGUUCGGAAUUACUGGGCGUAAAGCGCACGUAGGCGGCUUGGUAAGUUAGAGGUGAAAGCCCGGAGCUCAACUCCGGAAUUGCCUUUAAGACUGCCGAGCUAGCAGGUGAGAGAGGUAAGUGGAAUUCCGAGUGUAGAGGUGAAAUUCGUAGAUAUUCGGAAGAACACCAGUGGCGAAGGCGGCUUACUGGCUCAUACUGGACGCUGAGGUGCGAAAGCGUGGGGAGCAAACAGGAUUAGAUACCCCCGUAGUCCCUGUCUCUUAUAC